GCUUACCAUGCAGUCGAACGAGAAAGCUCCUUCGGGAGUGAGUAAAGUGGCAGACGGGUGAGUAACACGUAGGUAACCUGCCUUUAAGAGGGGGACAACAUGCCGAAAGGCGUGCUAAUACCCCGUAAUGCCAUCCCUCGCAAGGGGUGAUGGUCAAAGAUGCCCAAUCCUUGGAAGGUGUCGCUUAAAGAGGGGCCUGCGCACCAUUAGCUAGUUGGCGGGGUAACGGCCCACCAAGGCUCAGAUGGUUAGCUGGUUUGAGAGAACGACCAGCCACACUGGAACUGAGAAACGGUCCAGACUCCUACGGGAGGCAGCAGUGGGGAAUCUUGGGCAAUGGGCGAAAGCCUGACCCAGCGACGCCGCAUGGGUGAUGAAGGUCUUCGGAUCGUAAAGCCCUGUCGGAGGGGACGAUGGUAACAAGCAUCAGAUCCUUGUUAUUGACGGUACCCUCAAAGGAAGCACCGGCUAACUCUGUGCCAGCAGCCGCGGUAAUACAGAGGGUGCAAGCGUUGUUCGAAAUUAUUGGGCGUAAAGCGCGUCUAGGCGGUUUAUUAAGUCAUUGGUGAAAUCCCUGAGCUUAACUCAGGAAAGUCCAGCGAUACUGGUAGACUAGAGUACGAGAGGGGAGAGCGGAAUUCCCAGUGUAGAGGUGAAAUUCGUAGAUAUUGGGAGGAACACCUGUGGCGAAAGCGGCUCUCUGGUUCGAUACUGACGCUAAAGCGCGAAAGCGUGGGGAGCAAACAGGAUUAGAUACCCUGGUAGUCCACGCUGUAAACGAUGGUCACUAGAUGUGGGAGGAUAUUGA
rnacentral:rRNA from 1 species